rnacentral:misc_RNA from 1 species
ACACAUACGGUCUACAUUUAGCUUUAAAAAAUAUGGAUCUUUAAAAGAGAUUGAAAUACAAGAACUUGAGCAGUGCCUUUUUUAGAUAGAUCUUCAACAGGAAUAAUCUAGGACACAGGAACAUGAACAAUACAAUAUAAGAAAAGUGAGCAAUGUCUAAUGUGGACUCUUCAUCACCUGGUACACAGGUUUGGCAUCUAAACCUUAAUAAACGAGAAACAUAUGUUGAAAAGAUUUCCAAAACGUGGAAUGAAAUCAAGAGGAACGUCUACACGGAGGAUGAGCAAAGUUCCACCAGAAAACUCAUUAAAUCAACGCCCACCAUGGUGUUUUCGGUGAUUGGAGACUCAGACAGCUGUGUUCCAAGUCCUUGGCCAACUUCAGUAUUCCAGACAGCUCUGAUAGAAGCAGCAAAGAGUGGGGGAGAAACAUUUAUCUUAUUCAAAGGAAACGGCGGAGGGGUGUCUAAUGUCGUACGGGAUGCCUAUCAGCAUUACGAGGAUAUGGAGUUUGGGAGCGAAACAAGGACAGUAAAUGACCCAGAAAGACACAUUAAACUCAUCAGUAUGACCGGUAAAAAGACUGAUAAACAACAAUCAGAGAGGAACAUGGCUACAAUACACACAUGUGAAAUUGAGGAAGGAGAUGACUUUAUGCUUGAUUUUGAACAAUUUGUUUCUGAACAAGAAAUCUUCUAUUUUGGAACAGACAUGGAAUUCAAAAUCCCUGUUCCAAUCGUUAUUCUUGUAUGCGAAGGGGAUAUCGACACCAUCUCACACAUAUCAAAAGCACUUCAAGGCAAAAUUCCUGUUAUCAUUAUGAAAGGAUCGGGAAACGCUGCUGACUUGGUGCUUGACUACAUAGACGAGUAUUUGGACUUAUAUAUAACUGGAACAUAAAGAGCAGGAAUUCGAAAAAUAUUAACUUUUUUUUUUUAAUUUGAAUUAUGAUUGGAUGUUCUAUAUAAAUAUAUUAGCAAGAAGAAAUAGAAAACAGAAUACAUUAAAAAAUCAUUUUAGGAACAUAUUAUGAUGUUAUAUUUAUAGCAGAUGAAUUCCAUAAAUCAAACUCUUUUGUAGUCCUGACAUACUUCGGAAAAAUGUCAGCAUCAUUCUCAAUAUCGAGUUGGAUGAUCCCAAAUUCAGUAAUCUGGAAAAUAAUUUACAGACAAUCAGAGACAAUUGGGAUUUGGUAGGAGUGUUUGAUCUAGACCGAGAUGACCCACAUGUCUUGUCAGGUAUUGCAGGGAAAGCAAUAGUUAGUUGCUGGUCAGUAAAGAGGAGUUCCCGGUAUUCCAAUCCUGAUGUUCAGGAGAAAGAAAAACAAACAGCUGGAACAAACAAACACAUGUCUCAAUCAGCCUCGAAGAGUUUUUGUAUGGAUUUGAUAGACCAUGAUCAGCUAGUAAAAGGACUCAAAUGGGGGUCGAGACCAUAUGUGCAAAGUCCAAACUUUUGUACUUCCACUUCACUCCCGUUGUAUUUUUAUUUUGGAUAUCAAAUAUUGCAAGCAAAACCCCUGAUGAAGGAAUGUGGAGAUGUUCUCCUUCUUGAGGCAUUAAAAGCAAACCGAUGUGAUUAUGUGAGAGUUUUGUUGGACCGAGGUGUUAAAUUCAAUAUCGACAAUCUCUCCGAACUUUACGAACAGACAAUCUCAUGCCAGGAUUGUAAGUUUAAAGAACAAGACUGUUUGCAUUUCAAAUGGAUUUUAUAUCAAAUACCAACAGCAAAGACGUUAUGUCUGCAAUUGCUACAGACAGGGAAAAUAAAGGAACGAAACAUAACAAUGAAUGGAAAGACAACUAAAAAGAACACAAAACAUGUUUCUGUGAUCAGUGCUACUAAAAAACUUUGUUGUGAGAUAUUGGGAUAUGAAGAAUAUAUGCAGGGAGAAACAUUCACAGAUGAAAGUAUUGCUGAUGUUUUAUUAUGGUCUAUCUUCGUCAAUAGGAAAGAAUUAGCAGAAAUCUGCUGGCUAAGAGGCAAAGAUCAACUAUUGACCGGUCUAGUAUGUUCGGCCAUUCUUAAAGAACUUUCCAACAACGCAAGCAAUGUCAAGGAGCAGGUCUUAUCAAAAGAUCUAGAGGAUCAUUCAAAAAUCUUUCAAGGACGUUGCCUCAGCAUAAUGGAUAGAAUGUAUGAAGAAAACACAAAGCAAGCUAUCGAUCUGAUGGACACUCAGACAGUUGUCUGGGGGAUUCACUCAAGUCCAUUGACUUUUGCAUACGAAAAUUUUAUGUACGAUGUGGUAGCUCAUACGUGCUCCCAAAAAUACAUGAACAAGCAGUGGUACAACAGAUUGUCGCCGAAAAUAGUACCUUUUUUGAAGGGAUGCAAGAAUACACCAGGGCGUUCCCACAGGGGUUACUGGUCCCGUGUACUGAGACACUUAAACGACUUCUGGAACGUGGUGGAUCUGUUGUCGUUUCUUUUACUCACCAUUGCACUAUGUGUCCGCCAUGCAUAUCCAGUUCCUCCGACAUUCACUUUUGCUAGAAAUAUGUUUGCUCUUUCUCUGCUUGUCAUGUACCUGAGAAUAUUAGAAGUGUUUUUGAUACACAGAAUAAUGGGACCCACCAUUAUAAUGAUCAAAGAAAUGCUGAAAGAUCUGCUAAGGUUCCUGAUUAUAGCUGUCGUUGUGGUAUUGGGAGUUGGAAUUUAUUACCACGCAAAUAUGUGGCCGGAUCACCAAAGCAUAUGGUCAGAUGACUGGAACAAUUGGAGAAUUUGGUCUAUCAUUUACUUUCCGUACUGGCAGCUUUACGCUGAGUUAAAUCUUGAGACUGUUGAUGGUAAUGGACCAACUAACUGUACCAAAAACCGUACUAUAUGGGAGAACGACCCGUCCAAAACUGGGUGUUCACAAGAGGAUUGGACGGUUCAGGCCAUUGCAGGAAUAUAUGUGUUGUUCUCCAAUCUCCUCCUGGUCAAUCUUGUUAUUGCCAUGUUCAGUUACACAUUUGAAAGGGUACAGGAAAACUCUGAGAAACUGUGGCACUUUCAGAGGUACACAGUUAUCUGUGAUUACAACCGACGGAUUCCAUCACCUUUUAACCUGAUACCUCGUCUUGUCCAAUUGAUCUUUUUAUUGAAACGUGACCGUUCCUGUGACAUAAAAAUAGGUCAUACUGAAAUAGAUCUCAUGAAUACAAAAGAAAAACGAAAGAAAUCAGCUCUUCAGAAGAACUUUCAGAAAAUAAUUUCUUUUAGAAGUUAUAACACAAAGUGAAAUCAUGAACUAUACGACAGUCAGAGAACGUCGAUAAGGAGAUACAACGAAAUAAUCUGUUUUUAAAAGUUAAAAUAUCAACCGAUCGGAAUGAAAUCGC